ACUGACAUCAAAACAAAAAUUUGAUGACAAAGUAGUAAUAAUUACUAUAAAAUGUCCUUCUAUCAUUGAAAAGGAUGAUUAUGCAUAUAUCCAAGUUUUAAAUUCAUUGUUACAUAGAAGCCAUACAUUUGAAGCCGUACAUUUGAACCUAACACUGGUUGAAAGAAAAUUCUGUGAUGCAGAAACCAAAAUCAGUAUUCCAAAUAUAAACUCCAACUUUGGCCAGGUUUUGAAACUUCUCUUGGAAAUUAUGAUGGUGGUUUGUUCUUAAAAUCAGAAAUUUACACUAAAAACAUAAGAGAAGAAAGGGUUUUAGAUUUUUUCAAAGAAUGUAAAGAGAAUGAAGGGAAAACUCUCAUUGGAUGAAAUAUGGAAUAAACCUUAGCAGUUAUUGUCAGCCAAUAUUGAUAUCACAAAAAGAACGAAUCUUUUAUUAAUGAAGGUGAUAAAUCCAAGCCUGUGUACUUAGUUCCUGAAUUAAGUACUUUUACUGGAACAACAGAUGCGAUGAAAAAAAAUCAUCUCAUGGCUGAUUUGGAAACGCAUAGAAGAGUUGGUUCCAGUGAAAGAAUUGGCAGAUAAAAUAGUCUUAUAAAUCGGAUUCUAACUACACCAAAGCUGGUAAUGAAGCUAAUUGGGCAGUACACUUAUGGAAAUUACCCAUGUACUUGUGCUAAAAUAUAACAUUGGGUAGUACUAGGUCCAGAAGCAAAUGUUGCUGAAGUUAGACAAUUUACCAAUACUCUACUUCAGAUAGCAAAAGGCUUGUCAUUUAAUUUACCACAACCAGAAAUAGUUGAUCUAAAAGAUACGAGUGCGAGUAUGUAUUCAACUACUUUGGAUCAAGUAAUAAAUCAAAUGGAUCCAUAAUUUAUAUUAUGCGUCAUUCCGAUAUUGCCUAGUGAACAUUACAGUCUCAUUAAAAUACAACUAUGUAUUAAUAGACCAGUUCCAUCUCAAAUAGUGUUAUUGAAACAAAUGAAAAAAAAAAAGAUAUUCAUGUAUGCCAAUAUAUCCAUAAAAAUAAUUAUAAACUAAAUGGAGCACCAUGGCCUGUUGUCAUCCCUAAAAAGAAUAUGAUGAUAGUUGAAUUUGACGUCUGUCACGGAAAGCAAAAUAAAACUUAUGGUGCACAUAUAGCCACAAUGAAUGAUACCCAUACUACUUACAUCAGCUGUCUACAAAAAUAUGAAAGCAGACAGGAACUUUCAAACAAUUUUGCAAUGAGUA
rnacentral:lncRNA from 1 species